CCAUGUUACACAUCUACAUUUCAUUUGACACAGAUUUUAUGAUUUGGUGUUAAAUAUUUAACGCAAACAUCUGCGGAAGCGAUUAUUUGAAUUUGAUUUUCUAAUCUGUGGCAACCCUUUUAUAGAACUAAAACUAUGUUGCAGACCCAAAGGACAAGCCUUUAAUUCGACUCCUAAUUUUUUUAAAUUGAACGAUGCAGAUUUUAUGACUUGGUGUUAAAUAUUUCACGCAAACAUCUCCGAACUCGACUAAGAAGUUUCACUUCAAAAAAAUUUUGCGAAAUUCAAAAGAAUUCGAAUUUGCACCACCGAAUUUCGAAUCGAAUAAUCGAAUGGUUGGGCAAUGUUCGAAAUUCGGAAAAAAUCGAAUUUCAACCCCCCACUAUCCAUCCCUAGACUACACUAAGGUUGCUGUAGCGCAGAGCGCGUUCACCCAACUUCAAAAAUUCGUUAAAGAACCAGGUAUGCACAAAAAUUCGCUUAUUCUAAAGUUUUUUUCGAUUCCCAACAGUGACAGUCAACUCAUCUGCGACAGCGCCGUUAAGAUACGAGACUCCAUAAGGACGGUUUUCGCACAUUAACAUAGACAUCGUUGGUCCUCUUUCUCUCUGCCAAGGCCCUCUUGUCACAUUGGAUUUCACGGUUUGGUAUUCCAGCAUGAAUAUCAUCUGAUCGUGGUAGGCAAUUCGAGUCCGCCGUAUUCGCCGAAUUGAUCAACACUAUAGGGAUAGACCAUUUGCGAACAACACCCUAUCACCCACAAUCGAACGGCAUCAUCGAGAAGUGGCACAGAAGCUUUAAAACAGCCAUUUUGUGCCACAAUCCAGCUGAUUGGGUAUAUAAUUUACCAGCGAUUUUACUGAGAUUGCGAGUCGCGUUUUAACCCAACAUCUUCUCUUGCGCUACUCGUGUAUGGCUCAAUACUACGCGUCCCAGACGAAUUUUUCCAGGACGUCAAAACGAAACAAGUUACCAACGAAGCCAACGCACAAUUUCGUUAUGCAAUGGAGAAACUGCGACCAACCAAAACAGCCCAUCAUUCGACACCGCAAACAUUCUUAGCACCAGCACUGCAAACCGCAACGCACGUAUUCGUGCGAAACGACUCGAUACAUACUUCGUUAACACAUCCGUACGAUGGGCCUUACCUCGUCAUCAAACGGUCUCAAAACUGUUUCAAGUUACUACAUAGUGCGAGGGCGAUGUACAAACAUAAGCAUAGAUCGGUUAAAACCAGCGUUUUCUGCCAACGUCGACAACGAACACAACGUUUCGCAAGAUGUACUACCAGAGACACUGCAACCUACACCAACAAGCAACACUAGCACUGAUAGACACGUUUCUGCCAACGUCGACAACCAACACAACGUUUCGCAAGAAGUGCUGCCAGAGGCACUGCAACCCAUACCAACAAGCACAACUCGCACUGGUAGACACAUCCGCCUUCCUCUACGAUACCGAUAGUUCCAUCCAGAGGGGGGUACUGUCACACCCUGUACCAUUACAAAUUUUCCAUUUCAUUGCUCCGUGAGAUAGUACUUAUUACUUUUGCCACUUACAAAUUUCUUUCCUUUUCGAUUUGAUAACCAUCCUGACUGGUCGACAUCAGGCAUAAGCUACAUUGUAAAAACAUCUAGAAUUCAAACAAAAUUUGUCUGUAUAUAUAGUAGUUAAUCACAAAACUAUUAGUUUGGCGACGAACUCCACAUAAAAUGGUAAAGGCUGGUUUUCAGUAGGUCAAAAUCACUGACAUCAAAAACUGUCUUCAUCUGACAGCUGUUCAUUUGGUGUCAAAUGCGCUUUCAUUACAUCUUAAAAACGGACCCAAUGUCGAUAUCGCAGUGCAUGUCAAAGGCUACAGAUGUCAAAUGUGAAGUAAACUGUUUUGACAACCGAUCAGCUGAUAAGAGAACAAUUGUUGCAAAAAGUGAGGAAAUAAUUUCAACGUGAUACAAUGCGCAAAAAUAAACAAAUUGUAAUAGCUACUGCGGCACUUUGUGUAGUAACAACACUCAGGGCAUGAAAAAGAAGAGGAGCCAACUGAGAAAGCAAAACAAUGGUGGAUUAGACCUGGUCUGAGGGAGAGAGCGACCUGUGGUUUUUAUGCUACACUGCGUUCUAAGCUGGUUUUGCAGGAACCAAAGUGGUUAAAGCAUUUUUUGAGAGUGACUCUGGAAGAUUUUCAUUUCCUUGUGGAGCGCCUUACCCCAUAUAUUUGCAAACAAAGCACAAGAUUCCGAGAAGCGAUUUCGGUAGGCGAAAGAUUGGCAGUAACUUUACGUUACUUAGCAACAGGCGAUAGCUUCUCCAGUCUGAUGACUGUUUUCCUAAUGGGGAAAAGACAAUUUGCCAUGUAAUACAUGAAACAUGUGGUGCUAUUUUCGAGCCUUUGAAAGACGAAUUUCUAAAGGUUCCGAGUACUCCUGGACAAUGGACAAUGGUUGCUGACCGUUUUGAGCAACGAUGGAAUUUCCCUAAUUACUAUGGGGCAUUAGAUGGAAAGCACAUAGCGAUUCAAGCACCUGAUAACUGUGGUUCGGAGUAUUUCAACUACAAAAAAUUUAAUAGCAUUGUCCUAAUGGCUAUGGAAGAUGCGGACUACAAAUUUUUGUUUGUAGAAGUCGGGGCAUAUGGUCGCGAAUCUGAUGGAGGAGUUUUCGCACGAUGACCUCUUUCAGCAGCUCUUGCUGAUAAUACCAUUAAUUUCCCGGCUCCGAGGCCACUUCCACAUGAAGGAGACCCUAUGCCAUUUGUCAUAGUAGCUGAUGCCGCUUUUCCUUUAAAGCCGUAUUUGCUGAAACCCUUCUCUUAUCCUGAGCAAGUUAUGUCCCACAAAAUUUUCAACUACAGACUAUCGCGAGCAAGGAAUGUAGUUGAGAAUGUGUUCGGCAUAAGUGCAGCGCGAUUCAGAAUACUUAGAAGACCAAUGGACGUAAAACCAGGGUGCGCGAAAGCUAUUGUCCUCACGAUUUUUGUUUUGCAUAAUUUUUUAUUAACACGUAAACCAUUAUAUAUUCGAAGCUUAGACGUUGACGAUGAUGGCAUCGUUGUACGCGGUAACUGGAGAAAUGAGUUGGGAGAAAAUGGAAUGGGUAGGCCAGCGGACAAUGCAAUGAAUGUACGUGAAAAUUUUAUGGAGUUCUUCUUGACACCCCAUGGAUAAUUUUUUUUUUGUUUUUUAGAUUGGCG